rnacentral:rRNA from 1 species
AGCAGUCGCCGCGGUAAUACGAAGGGUGCAAGCGUUACUCGGAAUUACUGGGCGUAAAGCGUGCGUAGGUGGUGGUUUAAGUCCGUUGUGAAAGCCCUGGGCUCAACCUGGGAAUUGCAGUGGAUACUGGGUCACUAGAGUGUGGUAGAGGAUAGUGGAAUUUCCGGUGUAGCAGUGAAAUGCGUAGAGAUCGGAAGGAACAUCUGUGGCGAAGGCGACUAUCUGGGCCAACACUGACACUGAGGCACGAAAGCGUGGGGAGCAAACAGGAUUAGAUACCCGGGUAGUCCCUGUCUCUUAACA